rnacentral:ncRNA from 1 species
GUGUUGUAUGAAAGGAGAGAUGUUUAGCACUCCCCUAGACAAGGAUGGACAACAUAUGUACUGGUAAGGCACUGUCGUUCUUUAGCGACUCUUACCACAACAUUUUU